rnacentral:rRNA from 1 species
AGAGUUUGAUCAUGGCUCAGGACGAACGCUGGCGGCGUGCCUAAUACAUGCAAGUCGAGCGGACCUGAUGGAGUGCUUGCACUCCUGAUGGUUAGCGGCGGACGGGUGAGUAACACGUAGGCAACCUGCCCUCAAGACUGGGAUAACUACCGGAAACGGUAGCUAAUACCGGAUAAUUUAUUUUGCAGCAUUGUGGAAUAAUGAAAGGCGGAGCAAUCUGUCACUUGGGGAUGGGCCUGCGGCGCAUUAGCUAGUUGGUGGGGUAACGGCCCACCAAGGCGACGAUGCGUAGCCGACCUGAGAGGGUGAACGGCCACACUGGGACUGAGACACGGCCCAGACUCCUACGGGAGGCAGCAGUAGGGAAUCUUCCGCAAUGGGCGAAAGCCUGACGGAGCAACGCCGCGUGAGUGAUGAAGGUUUUCGGAUCGUAAAGCUCUGUUGCCAAGGAAGAACGUCUUCUAGAGUAACUGCUAGGAGAGUGACGGUACUUG